AGGAGAGUUUGAUCCUGGCUCAGGAUGAACGCUGGCGGCGUGCUUAACACAUGCAAGUCGAACGGAGAACCCCAGAACAAGUUUUCGGACAAGGGAUGGGAAUUCUUAGUGGCGGACGGGUGAGUAACGCGUGAGGAACCUGCCUUGGAGAGCGGAAUAACGUCGGGAAACUGACGCUAAUACCGCAUAAUGCAUCACCGGGGCAUCGCGGUGAUGCCAAAGCUUUUGCGCAUAAGGAUGGACUCGCGUCCCAUUAGAUAGUUGGCGGGGCAACGGCCCACCAAGUCAGCGAUGGGUAGCCGGACUGAGAGGUUGAACGGCCACAUUGGAACUGAGAGACGGUCCAGACUCCUACGGGAGGCAGCAGUGGGGAAUAUUGGGCAAUGGGCGGAAGCCUGACCCAGCGACGCCGCGUGAGCGAAGAAGGUCUUCGGAUUGUAAAGCUCUGUGUACAGGGACGAUAAUGACGGUACCUGUAUAGAAAGCCACGGCUAACUACGUGCCAGCAGCCGCGGUAAUACGUAGGUGGCAAGCGUUAUCCGGAUUUACUGGGUGUAAAGGGUGUGUAGGCUGGGAAGCAAGUCAGAUGUGAAAGGUGUGGGCUCAACUCACAGACUGCGUCUGAAACUGUUUUUCUUGAGAGUCGGAGGGGUAAUCGGAAUUCCUGGUGUAGCGGUGAAAUGCGUAGAUAUCAGGAGGAACACCGGUGGCGAAGGCGGAUUACUGGACGACAACUGACGCUGAGACACGAAAGCGUGGGGAGCAAACAGGAUUAGAUACCCUGGUAGUCCCCU
rnacentral:rRNA from 1 species